rnacentral:rRNA from 1 species
GAUGAACGCUGGCGGCGUGCCUAAUACAUGCCAGUCGAGCGACCAGACGAGGAGCUUGCUCCUCUGACGUUAGCGGCGGACGGGUGAGUAACACGUGGAUAACCUACCUCUAAGUCGUGGAUAACUACGGGAAACCGGAGCUAAUACCAGAUAAUAUAUUGAACCGCAUGGUUCAAUAGUUAAAGACGGUUUUGCUGUCACUUAUAGAUGGAUCCGCGCCGCAUUAGCUAGUUGGUAAGGUAACGGCUUACCAAGGCAACGAUGCGUAGCCGACCUGAGAGGGUGAUCGGCCACACUGGAACUGAGACACGGUCCAGACUCCUACGGGAGGCAGCAGUAGGGAAUCUUCCGCAAUGGGCGAAAGCCUGACGGAGCAACACCGCGUGAGUGAUGAAGGUCUUCGGAUCGUAAAACUCUGUUAUUAGGGAAGAACAAAUGUGUAAGUAACUAUGCACGUCUUGACGGUACCUAAUCAGAAAGCCACGGCUAACUACGUG